AUACGGAGGAUGCGAGCGUUAUCCGGAUUCAUUGGGUUUAAAGGGUGCGCAGGCGGACGAUUAAGUCAGCGGUGAAAAGUAUGCGCUCAACGCAUAUCGUGCCGUUGAAACUGGUUGACUAGGAUACGUAUGCUGUGGGAGGAAUGUGUAGUGUAGCGGUGAAAUGCAUAGAUAUUACACAGAACACCGAUUGCGAAGGCAUCUCACAAAUACGUCAUUGACGCUGAGGCACGAAAGUGCGGGGAUCAAACAGGAUUAGAUACCCUGGUAGUCCGCACAGUAAACGAUGAUAACUCGCUGUUGGUUCGGAAGAAUCAGUGGCCAAGCGAAAGCGAUAAGUUAUCCACCUGGGGAGUACGACCGCAAGGUUGAAACUCAAAUGAAUUGACGGGG
rnacentral:rRNA from 1 species